GCAGGUAGGCGUGGCAGAGAGCAGGACAAGUGGAUAGAACGUGGCUGGAUGAGCAGAAAACAUACAGAGUGACUAAUGAAAAAACAGACAAAAACAAAAAUGAAACAGUUGAAAAGAUGUAAAGAUAAAGAAAGCCGCGAUUGAAUGAGGCGGAAAGUUGCCAAAAUCAAUAUUUUCCCACUUUCUUUUCAAUCGUCAACACAAGAUCACCUUAAAUAAACAGAAAGCUAUUACCAUACCCGAUCCUUAUGAUGAAGGUCUAUUGGAAGAACUGAUUAUUACGAAGGAGGUCUAUGGAAUAACUGAUUAUUAUGAUUAAGGUCUAUUGGAAGAACUGAUUAUUAUGAUGGAAGUCUAUGGAAGAACUGAUUAUUAUGAUGGAGGUCUAUUGGAAGAACUGAUUAUUAUGAUGGAGGUCUAUUAGAGGAAAUCAUGACUCAUAUAAUGGAAGAACUGAUUCUUAGGGUGAAAAUGUAUAGUAAGACCGUAUUCUUACGAUGAAAGUAAUUUGAAAGCCAGAGAACUAUAUAAAAUAAAAACAUCAAAAUGGAAAUGAAACAAUAAACUUUUAAAGUUAAUA